UUAUUUAUUUCAUUAAUAGUGUUAUUAUUUGUUUCCUGACUUUUUUUCUGUAAAGAACCUGGAAAGGGUUAUUUGGUUAUGUGUGGCUUUCUGGAAAACAAUAAAAUUUUUAAGCUCCCCUACGAUCGUCACACUUUUUCUGUUACAAACUGACACCGGCCCCCCAUCAGAGAAGGGAAAAGUUAUGUGGCCCUCACAGGAAAAAGUUUGGGGACCCCUGGUGUACAGUCUACCCAUACUGUAUAGCCAUAAUGGCUCCUGUGACAGCAUGGGCUUUCUCCAUUUUAAAGUAGUCCAUUUUCUUCUUAUUUCAAGCUCUAUGCUAAUAUUGGUGAUUGAACAGCAGUGCUGGAGUACUGAUCCUGCUCCAACGGGUUCUAUCCAUCCAGACCCCCUUUUCUCUCUAUGGUCACGACCUCAUUACUGUCCCCUGGUGGAGAAUUACUGCAAGCGGAUGAGAUUUCAUUUAGAUAUUUUAAUGCAAGGCGACGAUUCCAAAUCAAUGUGUUAUCUCCUUGUUUAUUAUCAUAUUUAUAUGGAAGGAAGGAGGAUGAACUCAAGUGUUUGAACAGGGCCCAUGAUAUCACCCGACAUAUUCCUGACCCAUCAGGUUUACCCUCUGACCUUUGACCCUGACAGGGCUCGUCCAAUCACUGGCUGCGUGUAAUCCCUCGCACGCGGUUCGGCUCCUUCGCCCGCGGGGCCCGGGUCACGGCCUACACCAAUCGGAGUGGGGCUCUCAUGCGCAUCAUCGACAGCGGCUCGGGUACCUCUGUGAGAUGGAGCCUGUCGCCCACUUUGGACUGGGCAAGGACGAGGUCACCGUGGUGGAGGUCUAUUGGCCGGAUGGCCGUUCCGUGGCCCGCCCACUACAGCCUAGUGACAUGAACUCUGUGAUGGAGAUUGGCUACCCUAAAGAGGGGGAGGAGUGACCCCUGAUACCCAGUGUGGGGAAGGAUUCUUUGUCAAGAAUGGCCGCUGUGCAGGUAUAUGAGGGCAGUGAAUGAGAUGCCUUGAAGCAAAAAAAUAAAAUAAAUAUGCCUUGUCAUCAAGAUAAUGUAUACUAUCGAAGACCAAUGACACUCCAUUUGGUUUGUCAUUUGAACUAGUAGAUUAUCUCUGUUUUGCUUCGAUCUUUCAUAAGUGUCAUCUUCUCUGUAAGUGUUAACUUAUUGUUCUACUUUUCUUUGUUUUUCUUGACAAGUCAAACUGUUCCCCUUUGCUCUUUUGUUUUAGAAUAAUUAACCAUCCCUAAUAAAUCAAUACAACAACA